CCUACGGGGAGCAGCAGUGAGGAAUAUUGGUCAAUGGUCGAGAGCCUGAACCAGCCAAGUCGCGUGAAGGAUGACGGCCCUACGGGUUGUAAACUUCUUUUGUCAGGGAGCAAUUGGUUCCACGCGUGGGCUUAGCGAGAGUACCUGAAAAAAAAGCAUCGGCUAACUCCGUGCCGGCAGCCGCGGUAAUACGGGGGAUGCAAGCGUUAUCCGGUUUUAUUGGGUUUAAAGGGUGCGUAGGCGGAAUAUCAAGUCGGCGGGAAAAAUUCGGGGCUCAACCCCGUCGUGCCGUUGAAACUGAUGUUCUUGAGUGGGCGAGAAGUAUGCGGAAUGCGUGGUGUAGCGGUGAAAUGCAUAGAUAUCACGCAGAACUCCGAUUGCGAAGGCAGCAUACCGGCGCCCAACUGACGCUGAAGCACGAAAGCGUGGGUAUCGAACAGGAUUAGAUACCCUUGUAGUC
rnacentral:rRNA from 1 species